CUUGCCUUAGACACCAAUUGGAUAAUUGAUCUGAAUAGGUUAGCUUAGGUGAAUUAGACUCGAGCCACAGAGCCAAAUUAGGUUCUUGAAUUUAAUCGAUUCUACAUUUAGGUGUCAAUCGAAUUGAUCAACAAUAAUUGUAUGAUCUUAGGCUCUAUUGACCUUUUCUUAAUCAACACUUGACGUGAUUUGAUCAACUACUAAAUCAAUUCUAACCCAAUGUGAUCAAAUCAGAAAUCCUUUGAGGUAAUCUAAUUACAUAACCUAAUUUGAUCUACCCA
rnacentral:lncRNA from 1 species